UACGUAGGGUGCGAGCGUUAAUUGGAAUUACUGGGCGUAAAGCGUGCGCAGGCGGUUCGUGAUGUCUGAUGUGAAAGCCCCGGGCUCAACCUGGGAAUUGCAUUGGAAACUAGCGGGCUGGAGUGUGGCAGAGGGCGGUGGAAUUCCACGUGUAGCAGUGAAAUGCGUAGAGAUGUGGAGGAACACCGAUGGCGAAGGCAGCCCCUGGGCUAACACUGACGCUCAUGCACGAAAGCGUGGGGAGCAAACAGG
rnacentral:rRNA from 1 species